rnacentral:lncRNA from 10 species
AAUUGCUUGAACCUGGGAGGCGGAGGUUGCAGUGAGCCAAGAUUGUGCCACUGCACUCCAGCCUGGGUGACAGAGCAAGACUCCUUCUCAAAAGAGAAUAAAAAUAAAAAUAAAUAAAAGUAGGUCAUCUAGCUCUUUGAACAGACUUCUUGAAUAGUAUAUAUUUUAAAAAUGGUCCCUUCUGUUCCUGUAAAUAAGUCAAUAGAGUAAAAUAAGUAUGCCGUUUUUAGACAAACGCAGACACACACAUAUCUUUAGCUCAGCACUUUGAAAGAAACCACUUCUUUUGCUGGUACUACAGCUUGUUGACAGGUAGCAAUGGCUGAGUGACAGUAAACAUAGAAGCAGCAAUGCUGGCUUCCUUCUUGAUUCAAGAACCCCAGCUUUGUCAGUGUGGUUCCUCUGUAGUUUUAGGUAGACAAUGCAUUGUCUGAUUCAAGAAAAUGGUGUGUAGGGGUGAAAAUAUUCCAUUAUUCAUGUGUUGUCUUUUUUCCUCCCUAGAAUGUCUCCAGUUCUUUUGCUUAGUUUAGUACUCUAAAAAGAUAGUAAAAUCAGGGCAGGCACCGUGGUUCAUGUCCGUAAUCCCAGCAUUUUGGGAGGCCGAGGCGGGCAGAUCACCUGAGGUUGGGAGUUUGAGGCCAGCCUGACCAACGUGGAGAAACCCCGUCUCUACUAAAAAUACAAAAUUAGCCGGGCGUGAUGGUACAUGCCUGUAAUCCCAGCUACUCGGGAGGCUGAGGCAGGAGAAUCACUUGAACCCAGGAGGCGGAGAUUGCGGUGAGCUGAGAUCGCGCCAUUGCACCCCAGCCUGGGCAAUGAGCGAAACUCCGUCUCAAAAAGAUUAAAAAAAAAAAAAAAAAAAAGAUAGUAAAAUCUUAUGGUGUCAGCAAAACAUACUAUAGUAGAAAAUAUUUAGAAGGAAAAAUCUAAAUGUUCAAUGAUAGCAAGAUAUUUAAAUAAAUUGAACUAUGAGCAUAAAACCACUAGGAGCAUUAAGCAGUCAUUUAAAGUUAUGUUUUUAAAGAUUUUUUUUUUAUUUUAUCUUUUCUGAGACAGGCUCUUGCUCUGUCA